CCGUACCGUCCUACGUGUUGGUUUUCAGCUUUUUAGAUGAGGGUAGUAUGGGCAUUUCCCACCCCAAAACCGUUAUGUCCCCACAUUAUAUAACACUUUGUGGCCUCUCAUAACUUACUUGGAUGGAUAGAACACAACAAAAAUACUCUCUAAAUCUCUCUUGAAGAUUGGAGGCUAGGGUUUCUACAAGUGUUCUUCAAAGGGCUCAAGAG
rnacentral:lncRNA from 1 species